rnacentral:rRNA from 1 species
UACGUAGGGCGCAAGCGUUGUCCGGAUUCAUUGGGCGUAAAGGGUGCGUAGGUGGCAUGGUAAGUCGGGUGUGAAAUCCCGGGGCUCAACCCCGGAACUGCACUCGAUACUGCCGUGCUCGAGUACUGGAGAGGAGACUGGAAUUUACGGUGUAGCAGUGAAAUGCGUAGAUAUCGUAAGGAAGACCGGUGGCGAAGGCUAGUCUCUGGACAGUUACUGACACUGAGGCACGAAGGCCAGGGGAGCAAACGGG